AAAACGACUCUCGGCAACGGAUAUCUCGGCUCUUGCAUCGAUGAAGAACGUAGCGAAAUGCGAUACUUGGUGUGAAUUGCAGAAUCCCGUGAACCAUCGAGUCUUUGAACGCAAGUUGCGCCCGAAGCCAUUAGGCCGAGGGCACGCCUGCCUGGGUGUCACUAAAUGCUACC
rnacentral:rRNA from 1 species